rnacentral:rRNA from 1 species
AGUUUGAUCCUGGCUCAGGAUGAACGCUGGCGGCGUGCCUUAGGCAUGCAAGUCGAACGGUUGAGUCCGCAAGGACAAGACAGUGGCAGACGGGUGAGUAACGCGUAGGAAUCUACCUCUGGGUGGAACAUAGCCCUCCGAAAGGAGGGGUAAUUUUCCAUAGUCUCGCAAGAGUAAAGGACUUAACGGUCCGCCGAGAGAGGAGCCUGCGUCCUAUCAGCUAGUUGGCGGGGUAAUGGCCCACCAAGGCGAUGACGGGUAGCUGGACUGAGAGGUCGAUCAGCCACAACUCCACUGAGACACGGGGAGUACACCUACGGGUGGCAGCAACCAGGAAUAUUGCGCAAUGGACGAAAGUCUGACGCAGCGACGCCGCGUGGAGGAAGAAGGCCUUAGGGUCGUAAACUCCUUUUAUUCAGCCCUUCACAGCUGAAAGAAUAAGCCUCUACUAACUACGUGCCAGAAGUCUCGGUAAUACGUAGGAGGCAAGCGUUAUCCGGAUUCAUUGGGCGUAAAGUGUGCGUAGGCGUCCCUAUAAGUCGUAUUUUAAAGACUAAGGCUUACCCUUAGAAAUGAGUACGAUACUGCAGGGAUUGAGGAUUGGCAAGGAUGCUGGAACAGUUAGUGUAGCAGUGAAAUGCGUUGAUAUUAACUGGAACACCAAGGGCGAAGGCAAGCAUCUGUGCUCUUCCUGACGCUGAGGCACGAAAGCUAGGGUAGCGAAACAGAUUAGAUACCUGUGUAGUCCUAGCCGUAAACGAUGUCCGCUAACUGUUUGGUCUUUAUUGGCUAAGCGGUUCAAGCUAACGCAUUAAGCGGACCGCGUGGGGAGUACGGCCGCAAGGCUAAAACUCAAAGGAAUUGACGGGGACCCGCACAACUGGUGGAGCGUGUGGUUUAAUUCGAGACGAAGCGAAAAACCUUACCAGGGUUUGACAUGUUACCGUACAUUUUCCUGGAAACAGGAAGAAAUCCGCAAGGAUGGUAAUGCAGGUGAUGCAUGGCUGUCGUCAGCUCGUGCCGUGAGGUGUUCCCUUAAGUGGGGAAACGAGCGCAACCCGCAUCUAAUGUUAAAUAUUCAUUAGGAACAGCCCCGAUUUUAUCGGGGAGGAAGGCGCGGAAGACGUCAAGUCAGCACGUCCCUUAUACCCUGGGUCACACACACCCUACAAUGGCGAACAACAAAGGGCUGCAAGCCGGUAACGGCAAGCUAAUCCCAGAAAUUUCGCCUCAGUUCAGAUUGAGGUCUGCAACCCGACCUCAUGAAGUCGGAAUCAGUAGUAAUCGCGGAUCAGAAGGCCGCGGUGAAUACGUUCUCGGGUCUUGUACACACCGCCCGUCAAGGCAGCAAAGUUGGGAGUGGAUGAAGCAUCCCGCAAGGGGUUCGAGUCCAAAUUCAGCGAUGAAGCUUAAGUCGUAACAAGGUAACC